GGAUAAUCAGUAAUUUAAAAAUUUUUGUCUCAUAUACAAUCACAGAUAUCCUAAUUUCUGUUUUUUAAGGAAUCACUAUGAUCUCAAUGUAGUACAGGAAUUUUGGGAUACUUCAAAAAAAAAGAGAAGACUUACAGUAAAAAAACUUAUUUAAAAAUCAUUGUAAACACUUUGUAAAAAUAAUUUUUAUUUAGAUUAUUUUGGAAACAUGGUGGUGAAGAAUGGUAAGAUGUCAUGUGUUUACCUUAGGCAACUAAAUUAAGUCUCAUCAGUGUUUUGUUGAGGUUGGUUAAUGUCUCUAACUGAAGAUUUUUUAUUAUUUAAAAAUAUUAAAAGCAAAAACUGUACAGUUAAUUUAUUGAUUCAUCCACAUAAAAUUUACUGAGUGUCUGUUAUUGCCAGACUUUAAGAUGGUCUAGCAGAUACACGGGUGAAUAAACCUCUCCCUCAGGGCCAGUAACUUCAGUGAUAGAAACAUGUAUAAGACAUUACGGAAGCAUUUGCUAUGAGAGCACAACCCAAUCAAGGAGUUUCAAAAAUCGGGGAAGUUUAUUUUACUUUUGGAAUCUCCUAAAGCUGCUUCCCUUUGCCAAUAGCUGCUCUUUGACCCUACUUCUUUUCAAAGUAGAUCAAAUUGUCUGCAUUAAAUGUGAUGCUGUACUGGUCUCAACACUAGCAGAAAUCUCAGCCUGUGCAAAAUGCAGUGAAAUUAAGGCUGGCCUAGUAGCCUGUCACUUUAUCAUACUAUGACAAGUUACUCAUCCAAAAGACAGAGAUAAUAUUUUCCUAAUUUAUGGAGUUUUUUAUAGGUCAAAUGAGAUAUUAUGUAAAAACAAUACAAUGUUAAUUAUCAUACAAAAAGAGGUUUUAAUUUAAGACAUUUAAGCAAGAUGGUGAAAUCUUAGAAAAUAUAAAAUUUGGUUUUUGAAACUUUAUCAGUGAAGGAAAUAGUUCUGAAUGUCAUUGUGAUCUUCCUUUUACAUGAAAAAUAAACCCAGAAUGUUUAUAGUAUGAAUUUUAGGAUUUUAGCAUCGAUGUCACUGUUCAAAACUCUCUGUGCUAUACAUUUUACCAUUUUGUUCUAUAUGGAAAAAUUCUCUAAUUUUUCUGCACAUGUACAGUUUACAUUUAAGUGAAAGGAACUGUUGGUCCACUAUAUCAAUUUUUAUCAUUGCAAAGGCUUUAUGAUAUCGUGGAAGGAACACUGGACUAAGAAUUAAAAAUCUGGUUUCGAGUUCUUAAUCUACAAUUAUUUGUGUUAUCCUGCCUGAGUUCUAGUUUACUCCUCUGGAGAAAAUGACAGAAUAAUUACUGUUGUAUGUACUUUAUUAAGUAGUUGGGAAGAAUAAUUGAGUAAAGCUUGAAGAGCCAUACAGAUAUCAGGGGUUGUGUGGAAUUGCAAUAACAGGGCGUAUGUUUCACUGAGAGUUAAAACUGUGUUAAAUGCAACUUUUAUAAAAUGUGGAAUUACUUCUAAUAAUAGAAGCUUCCCUGGCAUUUACUUUAUGUGAGAUGUUUGUGCAGAAAUAAUAGCCAUGAUUUUCACUGCCUUUUCAUGAGUCCUGGGAGCCAAGAGCCGUUGUGAGAAGCCCAUAGAUACCUCUACCUGAGGACAGAAUUACUGCCCUAGAAGCUAGUAUUUACCUGGGACUGCUCAAGCUACACAGUACUCCAUUUUUUUAAAGAGAGAAGCAUGUGAAAAUCUCCUAAGGUAUUAUGGGUGUUUUUCCCGAAUUUUUAUUGACUGUUGUUGUUUGCAUCUCUCUUUGUUUUUGUGAAUUGGUCUCCUCCACCCAGUGCAUAUAAUUUUGAAGUUUAAACAAUCUACAUCAAUAUAUUCUGUAAGCACUUAUACGUGUGAGUGAACAAUGUCUAAAAUUAAUAUCUUAAUCGUCCUACUGAUUUUAUUACCUUG
ensembl:lncRNA